CCUAACACAUGCAAGUGGAGGGGUAACAUAGAGAAGCUUGCUUUUCUGAUGACGACCGGCGCACGGGUGCGUAACGCGUAUACAAUCUGCCUUCAAGCGAGGGAUAGCCCAUGGAAACGUGGAUUAAUACCUCAUAGUAUGUAGCCUUCACCUGGAGACUACAUUAAACAUUUAUGGCUUGAAGAUGAGUAUGCGUCCUAUUAGCUAGAUGGAGUGGUAACGGCACCCCAUGGCAACGAUAGGUAGGGGUCCUGAGAGGGAGAUCCCCCACACUGGUACUGAGACACGGACCAGACUCCUACGGGAGGCAGCAGUGAGGAAUAUUGGACAAUGGGCGAGAGCCUGAUCCAGCCAUGCCGCGUGCAGGAAGACUGCCCUAUGGGUUGUAAACUGCUUUUACAGAGGAAGAAACCUCCCCACGUGUGGGGAGCUGACGGUACUCUGCGAAUAAGGAUCGGCUAACUCCGUGCCAGCAGCCGCGGUAAUACGGAGGAUCCAAGCGUUAUCCGGAAUCAUUGGGUUUAAAGGGUCCGUAGGCGGGAUAAUAAGUCAGUGGUGAAAGUCUUCCGCUCAACGGGAGAACUGCCAUUGAUACUGUUGUUCUUGAAUUAGUAUGAAGUGGUUGGAAUGAGUAGUGUAGCGGUGAAAUGCAUAGAUAUUACUCAGAACACCUAUUGCGAAGGCAGAUCACUAAUACUAUAUUGACGCUGAGGGACGAAAGCGUAGGUAGCGAACAGGAUUAGAUACCCUGGUAGUCUACGCUGUAAACGAUGGUCACUAGCUGUC
rnacentral:rRNA from 1 species